rnacentral:rRNA from 1 species
CCUACGGGAGGCAGCAGUGAGGAAUAUUGGUCAAUGGCCGGAAGGCUGAACCAGCCAUGCCGCGUGAAGGUCAGUGCCCUAUGGGCGUUAAACUUCUUUUGUGCGGGAGCAAUAAUGGUCACGUGUGGCCAGACGAGAGUACCGUACGAAUAAGCAUCGGCUAACUCCGGUCCAGCAGCCGCGGUAAUACGGGGGAUGCAAGCGUUAUCCGGAUUUAUUGGGUUUAAAGGGUGCGUAGGCUGUGAGGUAAGUCAGCGGUGAAAUGCCCCCGCUCAACGGGGUGAAGUGCCAUUGAUACUGACGUGCUGGAAUGCGGAUGCCGUGGGAGGAAUGUGUGGUGUAGCGGUGAAAUGCAUAGAUAUCACACAGAACACCGAUUGCGAAGGCAUCUCACGAAGCCGCGAUUGACGCUGAUGCACGAAAGCGUGGGUAUCAAACAGGAUUAGAUACCCCAGUAGUC